rnacentral:rRNA from 1 species
AUUGCCUACGGGAGGCAGCAGUGAGUAAUAUUGGUCCAUGUUCUUACGCCUGAACCAGCCAAGUCGCGUGAGGGAAGACUGCCCUAUGGGUUGUAAACCUCUUUUGUCAGGGAGUAACGCCGGCUACGUGUAGCCGGACUGAGAGUACCUGAAGAAAAAGCAUCGGCUAACUCCGUGCCAGCAGCCGCGGUAAUACGGAGGAUGCGAGCGUUAUCCGGAUUUAUUGGGUUUAAAGGGUGCGUAGAUGGGUUGUUAAGUCAGUUGUGAAAGUUUGCGGCUCAACCGUAAAAUUGCAAUUGAUACUG